CUUUCCUCCCAUGCCACACUCACAGCCCAGCUGAGCCCCUGCUCCUCCGGUCUCCGGCCGCAGCUCUUUGCUCUACAGUCUGCGCUGCUCAACGCAAAUACGGUAACUCUCCCGCAGCGACACCCGCGCCCCUUCUCCCCGCCCCCAUAAAGACGGCAAGCGUCCCGCGACGUUGCUCUUAUCAAAUAGCUGCAUUAAUCGGGAGAGCUGACCCCACCCCACCCGACCUUACACACAACCUUGCCAACUUCUGCGGCCGGAGCAACCCUGGAGAAAUAUGGUAAACUCUGCGUCGCAACCCCACCCCCACGAAAAUACGUAGGCCUCCACCCUGCUGCCGCAACCCACCCCGCCCGACUGCAAGCCCCAGCUCCCAGAGGGAAUGAAUGCAGCCCACCCCCCACGGCCGCAGCGCCCCCCCGCGGAGCCACGCAACCCUGGAUAAAUACGUAAUUAAGUCCCGGCGCUCCCACUCCCGGAAAGGACCUGCGCGGGACCCGGCAAAUACGGUAGCACGCCCGCAGUGACCCGCCCCCGAGGGUCCGGCUCUGGCCUCGAGUGACCAGAGGGAAAGGAAGAAGACAUCAGGCCCCUGCUGACCCCACCUCCUCAGAACGGAACCCGCAGUCAAGCCAGAGAUAUCCCAUAAAAGAGCAACUUACGACGUCUGGAGUAGCAGCGGGCGUGAGAGGGCAGAACCAAAUUACAGCUUCCAGCUGCCAUUUAAUGAUAAUGUCCCUUACUCGGACAUAACUUUGCCUUUUACAAAGCCCUUUUCCAUGUUAUGAUCUCGUGGGAACCUUCCAAUAACCAUGUGCACCCUACCUUGUGUGGGUUUUAUCCCAUUUUAUAGACGGGAAAAUAAAAUUGAAACACAGAG
rnacentral:lncRNA from 1 species